GUCCUAGCCGUAAACGAUGUUCACUAGAUGUGGGGUAUCGACCCCUCCGCGUCGACGCUAACGCAUUAAGUGAACCGCCUGGGGAGUACGGCCGCAAGGUUGAAACUCAAAGGAAUUGACGGGGCCCGCACAAGCGGUGGAGCAUGUGGUUUAAUUCGACGCAACGCGAAAACCUUACCUGGGCUUGAACCGCUGGUAGUAGUUCGCUGGAAACAGUGAACGAACCGUCAAGUCGGUUGCCAGUAGAGGUGCUGCAUGGCUGUCGU
rnacentral:rRNA from 1 species